rnacentral:rRNA from 1 species
GACGAACGCUGGCGGCGUGCUUAACACAUGCAAGUCGAACGGUGAACCUCUUCGGAGGGGAUCAGUGGCGAACGGGUGAGUAACACGUGGGCAACCUGCCCCCGGCUCUGGGAUAACUCCAAGAAAUUGGGGCUAAUACCGGAUGUUCACCGCUUCCCGCAUGGGUGGUGGUGGAAAGGGUUUCCGGCUGGGGAUGGGCCCGCGGCCUAUCAGCUUGUUGGUGGGGUAGUGGCCUACCAAGGCGACGACGGGUAGCCGGCCUGAGAGGGUGACCGGCCACACUGGGACUGAGACACGGCCCAGACGCCUACGGGAGGCAGCAGUGGGGAAUAUUGCGCAAUGGGCGGAAGCCUGACGCAGCGACGCCGCGUGGGGGAUGACGGCCUUCGGGUUGUAAACCUCUUUCAGCAGGGACGAAGCGCAAGUGACGGUACCUGCAGAAGAAGCACCGGCUAACUACGUG